UGUACUUUAUUGGUCACCCACUAUGUUUCAACGUCGUAUGUUUGGUAGCUCGGGCAUUCCGAGGUCAAUGUACCGCUCUCUUCACAUUCAGUCCGCCUCUCAAGCGACACGAAUG
rnacentral:ribozyme from 1 species